rnacentral:tRNA from 1 species
CAAGUUAAUUAAUAUAUUUUGUUUACACUAAAAUAAUUAUUGUUGAUUCAAUAUAACUUGA